rnacentral:rRNA from 1 species
GGGGGGGGGGGGGGGGGGGGGGGGGGGGGGGGGGGGGGGGGGGGGGGGGGGGGGAGGGGGGUGGUGCGGGGGGGGGGGGGCGGGGGGGGGGGGAAGGGAUCGGAGUCUAAUUUUGGGGGGGGGAGAACGUAGGGAGACUUACGCUAGGACGGCGACGGACCUACGGGUGAAAGCAGGGGAUCUUCGGACCUUGCGCGCUUGACUGAGCCGAUGUCGGAUUAGCGAGUUGGCGGGGUAAAGGCCCACCAAGGCGACGGUCCGUCGCUGGUCUGAGAGGAUGAUCAGCCACACUGGAACUGAGACACGGUCCAGACUCCUACGGGAGGCAGCAGUGGGGAAUAUUGGACCAUGGGCGCAAGCCUGAUCCAGCCAUACCGCGUGGGUGAAGAAGGCCUUCGGGUUGUAAAGCCCUUUUGUUGGGAAAGAAAAGCAGCAGGUUAAUACCCCGCUGUUCUGACGGUACCCAAAGAAUAAGCACCGGCUAACUUCGUG